CCCUUAGAUGUUCUGGGCCGCACGCGCGCUACACUGAUGCAUUCAACGAGUCUAAAACCUGCUCUGAUAGGGGUGGGCAAUCUUUUGAAUGUGCAUCGUGAUUGGGAUAGAUGAUUGCAAUUUUUCAUCUUCAACGAGGAAUGCCUAGUAAACGCAAGUCAUCAGCUUGCAUUGAUUACGUCCCUGCCCUUUGUACACACCGCCCGUCGCUCCUACCGAUUAAAUGAUCCGAUGAAUAUCAUGGAUUGAGGAUGCAAGCAGGUUCGCCUGUCUUCAUCUUCGAGAAGUGAAGUAAAUCUUAUCAUUUAGAGGAAGGAGAAGUCGUAACA
rnacentral:rRNA from 1 species